UAAAAAAAAGGCAGCAAAACACACAGCAGCUGUCUGUCCUCCCCCUACGGACGGACCGCCUGUCAAAUAUUUUACCUUUGCACCAAAUGACAGUCUCAGGUGUGGGCAGGAAGUCGGCAGGUUCCUUGCAGAAGAACUUCUCGUUGGUAGAGCUGGUGGCUCGCAAAGUUUAUAUAUGCAAAUGCCAAUGCCUAAGUACCGCGAUGUUCUUAUUUUGUUCGAAAACGAAGACGUAAACUUUCUGGAAGGACUGAGGCAGUGUAAUAUCAUCGUUCAGGUUGCCCAAAUUCAGGACAACAAUUUUGUUGUUGAUCAGAACGUCGACAGCGCAUUGGCCAUGAAUGUUUGUCACAUGGAAACAUACAGGGUGAAGAGAACAAUUGUGGUCUACAUUGAAAAUUAUAAACAUCCAUGGUUUAGUGAUAUCAAGAACAAGCAACGAGCUUUAACAAGCUGCACGUCUCAGCUAAUCUUGGUGCACCAAAAUAAAAAGUAGAGUGUGACUCCUGAACACUUUCACCUGAAAUGGCAGAUGCAUGUAUCAUGUAACGUCUUAAAAAUAUUUAACAUGCAUCGUUUCAUACUU